ACAGUCUGACAGAGUUCUGUCUACCUGGGAUCAGCCACCCUUUCAACAUGAGAUGGACAAGCUCCUUCCAGAAGUGCCCUUUCCACCCACCCUUCUUUGCAGAAGAAAAGAAUAAGAGCUCGACUGUAGCUGCCUUUGAGUGGUCAUGCCCAGCUGUGAAGGAACUGUGUGGUGAGGAAAAGCACCAAGCAGAAAUGGACAAUCUGCUAAAACAAAAAGCAGCAUGGAAAACAGCAAAAUCCCAAGUGUGCUGGAAGUGAUGGAAGACCAGACUCUGCACUGGCACCUGUACAUUUAUUACUAUGAUCAUAACUCUGCAAUUCUCUGGCAUUAAUACAGUUGGUUAUCUGCCCAUCUCCACACAAAACAACUCUUCAGUUCAAGCUUGCAGACACUGUAAAAUACAUUGUAUCUGCGUGGGAGUCAAGCAGUCAUGAGAUUUACUCCUGGCCAUCAACUGGCUGCUGAUUUGGUUUUGGAUAUUUUCACCCAUCCAUCUGUCAUUCUUUUUGGAAAACUGGCAUUUAACAUCUACUGACCUAACAGAGCUUCACUGACCUGGCA
rnacentral:lncRNA from 1 species